rnacentral:lncRNA from 1 species
ACUAGCCUCUGUCUUUUCAAAUCCAUUAUCCAGCUUUAAUGAUAACAGUUUCCGACGUGAUCUUUUAAUAUCUGCUAUCAAUAUCUUUUAACAUCUUCUUGAAUCUUCUUCAUCUGUCUCCUUUAAUCUCCAGCUUUCCCUUUUCUGAGUAGUGACCCUUAGAUGCAGUCCCAACGGUUACCCUUCUUCUUCCCUUAGCAUAUCUUUUUCAAGCAUCAGGCAGUCUUGAAACUCCUUCCUCUUGUUCUUCUUGCCUCCGUCGUUCUCUCGCCUGAUGGAAACUCAGUGGAUGCAGCCCCAACAGGUAAUGUCCUUCUCCUCUUCUUAUCGCUUCUUUAGCAACAAAAUGCGUGUUCUCAUUUUCUGUUUUAGGAAUAAAAUAAAAACCGAUAUUCUGAAAGAAAACUUUUUUGCUGUUGAUAUCUCUGAUUAUCGCUCCUAUAAUCGAUUUGUCUUGAUUUAUGGACUGACAUUUCUUGAUUACUGUUCUUGAGUCUCAUUUUAUAUCCAAACAAUGUAAUCUCAUUUCAAUCCCUAACUGAAUCGCCUGUAACCCUGCAUGUGCCUCCGCUGCAAAUGAUGACGAAAUGUUGGAGUGAAUAACCGAUUUAGAGGCAACGAUAUCCCCCUCCGUACCGCAUACAACCAAGCCCGAAGCAGAUCUCGAAGUUCUCUUAUCGAAAGCCGCAUCAAAAUAAAUUGUAGUUCUCAUGCUCCUUUCAAUUUGGUUAUGUCCUCUGUCAAUGCUGGUAAGAAGUAUUUUUUCCUCCGCUCCAUUCAACUCUGCUAUAAAAAUGAUGACUUGUUUAGAAAUAUCCCUGCCUAUUGUAUUCUUUCUCUUAUAAAUGAAUUUAUUUCUAUGGUUCUAGAUUGACCAUAACCCACAGCAAAAAAGACGACACUAGGCUUUGUUCCCUUGCCUGAAAAUCCAGAUAAGCCACUCCCACAAGCUUUGAAUACUGUUGUUUGAUACCCAUGCAAGAUCUAAACUUGACCAUAUUUCAGUUGUUGUGGCACAGUACUUGAAAACAUGGAUGCAAUCUUCAUCAGAAAUGUGACAUCGGAGACAUAGAGUUUCCUCUGCGACCUUCUUACUCUUUAGAUUAGAUAGAGUAGGAAUAUAAUUCCAAGAAAUUCGCCAAAUUGUAAUUUUGAUUUUUGGAGAAAUUUGUAAAUUCCAUAAUUUUUUGUAGAAAUUUCUAUUAUCAGUCUGUAUAAAAUUAUUACUAGGACCCGAAGUAGUCUCUUGUAAUAGUUUAUAGGCACUUCUGACUCCUGUCGGUUCUCCUCGCCAUACUUAGAAGUCCUCAUAUGUUGUCGCUGCCAAAGGAAUCUGCAGAAUUUUUUUUGCAAUAUCCUCAUUAAAGGUACUAAGAAUUAAAUCUGCAUUCCACUCUCGAUUAUUAGCAUCAAUCAAAUCUGAUACUAACUUAAUGUUCUCAUUGGCAGUAUCAUUCUGCAUUCUAUCAGUUUCAGCUCCCGAUAUCCAUAAGUCAUCCCAAACAGAGAUGCGAGCACCUGUUCCUACUCUCCAGCAUAACCCUUUCUCCAAAUGAUAGAAUGCAGAAUGAUACUGCCCAGACUCUCUUCCAGGUAAACGAAGGUAAAUUCCCCAAAUGAGCAUUGAUGAAGUCCGAAUUUGGAUAAUAUUUUUCUUUUAAAACACGACUUAACAAAGAAUUAGGGAAAUUGAUAAGACGUCAACCUUGUUUUGCUAAUAAUGCUAAAUUGAAUUUUUCGAGACUACGAAAGCCUAAACCACCAUCUUCUUUCAAAGAGCAUAAAUAUUUCCACGUACACUAGUGAAUACCUUUUUUUGUCUCGACUUUCUGCCACCAAUAUUUUGCCAUAAUGACUUCUAAUUCAGCACAUAAAGACUUAGGAAUUAGGAAACAUGCCAUCGUAUAAAUAGGAAUAGCUUGAAGAAUAGCCUUUAUAAACACUUCUUUCCCCCUUUGAGACGGGUAUCUUACACUCCAGCUGUCAAUUCGCUGCUUCAUUCUGUCCUUUAAAGUCUGAAAAGAUGGUUUCUUCUUUCUACCCACCAUAUUAGGCAACCGAAGAUACCUUUCCAGGUUAUUUGAACUACGUACUCCGAGAACCCUGGAAAUGACUGCUUUAUCCCUUUCCUGUGUAUUGGUGCUAAAAAAUACUAUAGAUUUGUCAUAGUUGACACACUGUCCGGAACAAUUCCCAUAUUCAAUCAGAAUAUGUUUUCAGUGAGCUAGCUCCUCUUUCUGUGGCUUCCCCAAAUAAAAUACUAUCAUCUGCAAAUAACAAGUGAGAAACCUGUGGACCACUUCUGCUUACUUUAACCCCUCUGAUUAUGUUCCCUUGCGUAGCGAGUCUCAUAAGACUGGAAAGACCUUCCCCACAAAUUAAAAAUAGGAACGGACUCAAAGGGUCAACGUCUUAAUCCCCUUGAGGGUUGAAAAAUCUCUCCAGCAUGACCAUUGAAAACCACCGAGUAUGAGACUCUGGAAACACAUUUCAUUAGACUCAAUCCAUCUUAAAUCAAAACACAUGCGCUUCAUAAUUACUGUGAUAAACUGCCAUUCAACUCUAUCAUAAGCUUUACCCAUAUCUAAUUUAACUGUCAUGAAUCCCUUCUUCCCCGUCUUCUUUUGUUUUAAAGUAUGUAGGAUUUCAUAAGCUAAGAACACAUUAUCAGAAAUUAACCUCCCUGGAACGUAAAUGCUUUGUGCUGGGUCAAUACAGGUUUCAAUAACCACCCGAAGACAGUUCACAAUGACCUUAGCUAUCAACUUAUAAAUAACCUUGCAUAGGCUUAUGGGGCGAAAAUAAGUAAUAUUUGAAGGGUUUUUGAAUAUUUGGGAUCAGAACUAUAUUAGUCGUAUUAAUAAAAAACGCUUUGUGCUGGGUCAAUACAGGUUUCAAUUACCAAUCAAAAGAUAACAUGUCAGCAUUUUGUUUGGUGACAAGGCAUUUAACGGUGAAGCAACUAGAAUUGAUAACUGAGUGACUAAAAUUGACAACUUAUCUAAUGAAAAUGACUAAAAUAACAAAUUUUUAAAAUAAGUGACCAAAAUAAGAACACGGAUAAACUUAGAUGACUAAAUAGGUACUUUACCCAUAAUUUAUUAACGCUUAAAACUUACAUAAAUUUAUAAAUAUUUGAAAGGUAAAAAUAACAUAAACACAUAAGCAUGAAUUUAUUUUGAUCCCAAAAAAUAACCUCUUAAAAUAUCUAAUUUCUCAUUACUAUAAUUGGCCAUCUUACAAUCUUUAUCUUUCAAGGACAAAUCUGAUUUGCUAAAAAAAUAACCAACUUCAAUGUUGAAUUCAUUGGGAUAUAAUCAAAGUUAGGUCGGAUCCGUUUGAAAUUAUAAAAAAACUACCGUAUAAAAAAGACAUUCAAAAUAAGGAAGUUAUAUAUAGAAAAAACUGUCCUUGGCAGUUACUAUAUAGACAGGGAAGGUAGCUUCCUUUCAUUUGCAAAUAUAGAAUUUUUUUUGAAAAAAAAAGAAGAAGCCAUUUUGUUGGAUAAUUUUGUUAUACAUGUAAUCUUAUACAUGUAGUACGGUUUUUAGUCUUUCUUAUACAUGUAAUCUUAGUUUUACAAGUGGUUUUAUGGAUAAUUUUGUUGCCGUCCUCUAUAUCGUAAAAAAUCACAUUUGGGCAUUCCAACAAAAAUGCAUUAAGCCAUUUUGUUUAAUAAUAGCGUAAGGCCAUUAAUAAAAGAAGAUAAUGGAAUUCUUUUAGCAUUUAAAAUAAGUAUGCUAUUGGCGGAAAUGGUUGGUUUUAAAAAUCAUUUAGGAAAUUAGAUUUUUUCUUAAAUUUAAAGAAAUAGAUUGAUUUAGAGAGAGAAAUAAAAAACGCGUCCAGCAAGACGUGUUUUCGUCCAAUGAUAACUUUUUACAACAGUCAAAAUAUUCAACGACUAAUUUCUAAUAGUUUUUUUUUUUCAAACAGUUAGUUUAUUUGCUAUAUAUAUCAAACUUAUUUUCUUUCUUUUGCCUUAAAAUCCUAUUCUCUUAAUCUUAUUCAUCCAUUCUCUCAGCUAUUUUAUUCUCAAUUUUUCAUUCAAUCCCCCUCAAAUUCUUGUUGUCUUGAUUUUAUAUUUCAAAAUUUCUUUGAUUUUAUUUGAUUUUAUAAUUUUAAAAAUACCAAUGCCUCUUAUUCGUUUGGAUGAAAAACACAUAUCUAGUAUCCAAUUGCAAAUGGUAAAAAAAUAUAUUAAUUUUUUUAAUUUUAAUUAAUAACUAUUAAGUUGUUGACAUUAUUAAUUUUAUUAAUUUUUUAUGUUUAUAUAAUGAGACCGAAGAUCGGAUUAUUGAGACAUAUAUGCAAUUUAAGUAUGCACCGCACUUUGGCUCUCUUGGAGGACCAAUACUGUUAGCCUCAUAUGGGUGACGAUGUUGAGACCUAUGUGAAGGCUUGUCUUGUGUGCCAACAAGACAAGGUAGAGUUGAAAACGUCGACUGAUUUAUUGCAACUUUUGCCCAUUCUGGAAUGUUCAUAGGAGAGUGUUCAAGUUGAUGGGUGGUUUACGGGCCAGUUUUGGACAGAGUUGUUCAAGUUGAUGGGUCAAACUUGAAAUUUUCUACUAGCAUGCAUCCAUAAUUUGAUGAGAAAACUGAAAGAGUAAAUGAUUUAUUGGAGACUUAUCUUUGGCACUAUAUAAAUGCCACACAGAUGGACUAGCCAAAAUUGUUGGAUGUGACCCGAUUUUCUUAUAACUUGCAGCGAAGUGGGGCCACGAAUCAGAGUCCAUUUGAGAUAUUGACGGGGCAACAACCACUUACACGCAAUGUUGUUGCUCCCUGUUAUACAAGACUAAAUCCAACAACUUAUCUAUAACGACCUAAUUUUCAGUGGUGUUAGAAACGGUGAUUUGAAAUCACUAAAUCCGAUAAGUAAGAUUGAACAAUAUAGUAAUUUAAUAUUUAUGAGUCAAGUAAGAAUUUAGAAGAAAUUGUGAAUUGGUGAACUAAAAGAAUUUAUUAGGUCAAACGGGUAAAAAAUGAGGUAUCGAGACCUCAAACUUGAAAAACGAGCCAUAAAUAUUUUAUAAAUAUUCAUGGAGUAUCAUUAAGUUAGUAAUAAAUUUUGGUUGGGAAAUUUUACCGUUUGGGUAGUCAAUUAAAUAAAAAGGACUAAAUUGUAACAAAUGAAAAUUUUGAUAGAAGGAUUAAAUAGCUCAAGUGCUAAAAGAAAGAGGAUUUAAAGGGAAAUUAAGCUUAAAAGUGAAUAUUUUGGACGGCAAGGGCAAGAAAAUCAGUAGAAAAAUAAGGGAAAUAAGGGCAAAAUUGGAGAUUUUACAGUUUUAACAUAUAAAAUAAGGACAAAAUUGAAAAAUCUAGAGGUCUCUUCAUAUUUUCUCAGCCAAAAUGCCAUAUGAGGUAUAUAAAAAGCUUUUUUUUUCAUAUUUUUAUAUCCUGUGAGUUUAAUUCUUGCUUCGUCUUGAUAAUAUUUAUAUUUUUAUGACUUUUACAAUUAGGUCCACUUAUAGAAUUCAUUAGUUUUUGAUUUUGUGGGUGAAAUUGGAAGUUACCCUGACUAAUUAAGGGAAUUUUAUGAUGAAUUAUUAUGAAAUUUAAGUUCUAAUUUCAUAUUAAGGUGGUUUUAUUAAGUGAUUUUGAUAGAAAAUGGUAUUUAGGACCUAAUUGUGAAAAAGUUGUGAAUUAGAGGUUGUUAUUGAAAUUAAGAAUGUCAAAGGUUGUGAAAUAAUUUAUAAUGAUAAAAUAAAGUGUUAAUUAAGAAAAAAAUAGUUCAAUUGAUGGGUGCAUUAAGUAGGGACUAAAUUGUAAAAAUUGUAAAUUUUGGGGUAAAAGUGUAAUUUCAAAAGUUGAAGAGCAUAAAUUAUGAAGUGAAACAGAAAUGAAAUAAAUGAUAAUGAGUGAAAAUAUUUUACAUUAUAGAUCAAGAAUCCAAAAAAGAACGAGGAAAAGAAAAAGUUGCGGAAUAGUCCCUAAAUUUCAAUAUCUUCUACAAAUCAACCAGGUAAGUUCAUAUGGUUGAAUUUACAUGUUUAUUUGUGAAUGAUUGAAUGAUAUAAUGUGUUAUUAAAUAUGAAUUUGCUAUGGGAUUGUGAAAAUUUUUAUAAAAUGAAAGAAUAAAUGUGGAAAUUCAAAUUAGGAAAAAAACGCAAGAUUGAGUAUAUUCGUAUCGUGACAUGUAAUGAAUUGACAAAUAAGACCAUGGUUGAUCCAUGGAAAAUUGUGAAACGUAGGUAUGGUAUUAACCAUACUGAGUUGUGAAACGUAGGUGUGAUAUCAUCCAUACUAAGUUGUGAAAUGUAGGUAUGGUAUUUCAAGGAGGAAAACCGUACUGAGUUGUGAAUCGUGGCAUUGAGCAACGGCUUACUCAAUUUCGUAAGACGUUUCCUAAUUUGAUAAUAAGUAAUAUAUGAGGUGCAAACUAAAAUGAAAAGGGAUCGAGUAGUUGCUAAUGUUGAGCUCAACUAUGUGAAGUAUUAUAACAGUGGUUGUGAAUGGCAAGGAACUUUAGUAAAUGUUUUGUUAUUUUUUGGAAAUAUUAUGUUUGGUAAGCAUUACUUUUAAACCUAUGAACUUACUAAACUUCAAUAAGCUUACUUGUGUAUGUUCGAUAUUUUUAUGUAGAUUGAAUUAAAGGGAAGUUGGUAGAUCGGAUCAUCACAACAAAGCUCACUGUCCAAAUCAAUUCCAGUAGCUUAUGUUUUAUGCUUAAAGAUUUAUAUGGCAUGUAUAGAGUUUAAAUGAAAUGAGGAAAAUAUGUUAUAUACUAGUUAACAAUAUUUUGUACUAAAACAGUUUUUGGUUAGUAGCAAUAGUUCAAUUUUGAAAAUUCACCAUAAAUUAUGAAAAUCGAAUUAGAGGUUGAAUAAGAUAUGAAAUUAAAUCAUAUUGAAUCUAGUUUCACAUAGAAUAAACGGUGUAAGCAAAAGACUUUCAUAUUAGGAGAUAUUUGAAUUUUUGUGAGACAAUGUCAGAGUGAAUUCGAGCUCCUCUGUUCUGACUUUGGAAAAUCAUUAAAAAUUGUACAGAAAUAACUAUGGG